AGCGGUCGUGGGUGAUGGCCACGACGGUGCCCGGGAAGCGCUGGAGGAACUGUUCGAGCCAGUCGACCGAUUC
rnacentral:tRNA from 1 species